rnacentral:rRNA from 1 species
GACGUAGGGUGCGAGCGUUGUCCGGAUUUAUUGGGCGUAAAGAGCUCGUAGGCGGCUCGUCGCGUCGACCGUGAAAACCCGCGGCUUAACUGCGGGCUUGCGGUUGAUACGGGCGGGCUAGAGUUCGGUAGGGGAGACUGGAAUUCCUGGUGUAGCGGUGAAAUGCGCAGAUAUCAGGAAGAACACCGAUGGCGAAGGCAGUUCUCUGGGACGGUACUGACGCUGAGACGCGAAAGCGUGGGGAGCGAACAGG